rnacentral:tRNA from 1 species
GUCUCCGUAGAUUAGUGGUUAGAUCGCAACGUUGUGGCCGUAGCAACUCCGUUGUAACGCGUGUUCGACUCACGCCGGGGACA